UUCAAGCUGUUCAAUGCGACAACUGAUUUAUUCAUUUUCUGCAACAAGUCAUAUCAGGCGAAGAGAGACAGGUAUAAUCAGUCCUAAUUACGCUCCCGAAAGCAUGUAGCAAAUUAUGACCAAGGAAAUAAAAAAGGGACGCACAAGAUAAUACAAUGCCGAGACAUUCCAAAAUAUUUUAGGGACAGGGCAUUUGGAAAUGUAUACGGCAUCUGCCAUCAUCAUCAGAUAAAUUUUAACAACAAAACAGAAACAGAAACAUAAUGUUCAGCCCAGGUCCCAUCAAUAUCAGAUUGGUACAUCACAAGUUCACAACCAACCCUUAUUGGAAUCAAAACAGAACAGAAGCAACCUAGGUUUCGAGGAAGACCUGGGGCGCCCGCGCGCGGAUCACUCUGACAGGGCGUCGGCGGAGGCGGACGCGGCGGCGAGCUCCUGCUGCUGGAGGCGCUCGAGCGCCUUGUGGUGCGCCCAGGUCUCGAGGGUGAGGUCGGGC
rnacentral:lncRNA from 1 species